rnacentral:rRNA from 1 species
ACGCUGGCGGCGUGCCUAACACAUGCAAGUCGUACGAGAAAGCCGGCUUCGGCUGGUGAGUAAAGUGGCGCACGGGUGAGUAACGCGUGGAUAAUCUGCCCUUAAGUGUGGAAUAACGUACCGAAAGGUGCGCUAAUACCGCAUAAUGCCUGGCAACACAAGUUGUCCGGCCAAAGAAGGCCUCUGUUUACAAGCUUUCGCUUCAGGAUGAGUCCGCGUACCAUUAGCUUGUUGGUGGGGUAAUGGCCUACCAAGGCUGCGAUGGUUAGCUGGUCUGAGAGGAUGAUCAGCCACACUGGAACUGAGACACGGUCCAGACUCCUACGGGAGGCAGCAGUGAGGAAUAUUGCGCAAUGGGGGCAACCCUGACGCAGCAACGCCGCGUGCAGGAAGACGGUCCUAUGGAUUGUAAACUGCUUUUAUACAGGAAGAAACACUGGUUCGUGAACCAGCUUGACGGUACUGUAAGAAUAAGGAUCGGCUAACUCCGUG